rnacentral:rRNA from 2 species
GGGUAACCUACCCAUAAGACUGGGAUAACUCCGGGAAACCGGGGCUAAUACCGGAUAAUAUUUUGAACUGCAUAGUUCGAAAUUGAAAGGCGGCUUCGGCUGUCACUUAUGGAUGGACCCGCGUCGCAUUAGCUAGUUGGUGAGGUAACGGCUCACCAAGGCGACGAUGCGUAGCCGACCUGAGAGGGUGAUCGGCCACACUGGGACUGAGACACGGCCCAGACUCCUACGGGAGGCAGCAGUAGGGAAUCUUCCGCAAUGGACGAAAGUCUGACGGAGCAACGCCGCGUGAGUGAUGAAGGCUUUCGGGUCGUAAAACUCUGUUGUUAGGGAAGAACAAGUGCUAGUUGAAUAAGCUGGCACCUUGACGGUACCUAACCAGAAAGCCACGGCUAACUACGUGCCAGCAGCCGCGGUAAUACGUAGGUGGCAAGCGUUAUCCGGAAUUAUUGGGCGUAAAGCGCGCGCAGGUGGUUUCUUAAGUCUGAUGUGAAAGCCCACGGCUCAACCGUGGAGGGUCAUUGGAAACUGGGAGACUUGAGUGCAGAAGAGGAAAGUGGAAUUCCAUGUGUAGCGGUGAAAUGCGUAGAGAUAUGGAGGAACACCAGUGGCGAAGGCGACUUUCUGGUCUGUAACUGACACUG